rnacentral:misc_RNA from 1 species
CAUGGUGAAGAAGAAGAAGAAGACGACGCUGAGUUGAAGAAGGAGAAUUUAACAAAGUCUUGUCUUUUUGCUCGUUUUAUUACCUUUAUUAGAAGACUUGAACCAAAGAAAACCAGCUAGAAUCCAAGCUAAGAUGCCAGAAAACCAACGGAGAUCACAUUCUCCUCGACGGUCAUCUUCCAGUGGCACAAAAACCAAAAGAGAAAAGUCAUCAAAUGAGAGCAGCUCAAACACAAAAGAUGGCGCCUCAAACAGAAAUCGCGACUCCAAUAGUUUUAAAGACAAUUAUAGACAAGAAAGGAACAGAACUGUCUCUUAUAGCUCAGGUUUAAAGAAGGAAAGAAAGUUUACAGGUCGUUGCCGGCUUUUUGUUGGUAAUUUAGUUGACUGCGAUGAGCAAGAGAUGAAAGAAAUGUUCUCCAAGUACGGCGAGGUUGCCGAAGUCUUCGUGAACAAAGAAAAAGGUUUCGGUUUUAUUCGCUUGGACACAAGGCUGAAUGCCGAGGCUGCAAAAGCUGGCAUGGAUAUGACUCAACGCAAGGGCCGAACAGUGCGCGUACGUUUUGCUACCCAUGCUGCUGCCAUACAGGUCCAUGAAUUUGGGUCCUAUGUAACGAAUGAGGUUCUGGAACAAGCGUUUUCUCAGUUUGGUGAUGUAGAAAGAGCUGUAGUUGUUUGUGACGACAGAGGGAGGUCUAAGAAUUAUGGGAUUGUAGAGUUUGCAAGAAAAAGCAGUGCUAACAAUGCUAUGCAUAAGGUUAAAGACAACCUAUUUCUUUUGGGAAGGACACCAAAACCAAUCACUGUCAAAGCCUACGAACAAGAAGAUGAAGAAGAUGGCCUUCCCGAGAAGAAUUUGGAGAGACAACCUGGCUAUCAAAAGGAAAGAGAGGUUCCUCCACAUUUUGCCACACCAGGAACCUUUGAAUAUGAAUGGGCUCAGCGAUGGAAGUCUCUAGAGGAAAUGGAGCAAUCCCAGAGAGAAACACUUGAUAAGCAGUUUAAAGAGGCUCGUGAAAAACUGGAGAAUGAAAUGCAGCAGGCCAUCAAAGAUCAUGAAGCUAUGUUAAUGAGACAAGCUGACAUGCAAAGACGACAAGAAGAGAUGCGAAGGCAUGAAGAAAUGCAACACAGAGAAGAGAUGAGAAGACAAGAAAUGAUGCAAAAAGAGGUGGAAAUGAUGAGACGCAGAGAGGAAGAAAGAAGGUAUCAGGAAGAAUUGAGAAUGCAGGAAGAAGCUCGACACAGGGAAGAAAUGAUGUACAGACAAAGACAAGAUGAUUUUAUGCGACGACAGGAAGAAAUGAUGAGAAAUGACAUGAGACCAAUGCCUUUCCCUCCUCGUGGAAUGCCUCCAAAGGGUCCUCGUGGUGAUUGGGGUCCUGGCCCCAUGGGUCCUAUGGGAAUGGGCCCUGGACCAGGCAUGGGACCACCACCUCACAUGCAUGGCCCUCGAGGACCCCCAAUGGGACCAGGUCCGAUGCCACCAAUGGGUAUUUGGUGAGAGAUUUGUGCACAUCAAAUAAGGAUGUUUUGUCCAGCCAUGUGACAGGGCACCAUCAAUGUGCCAGUAAUGUUCUGUACUUGAACCAAAGUACCAACAACAAAGGUUUUAGAUCAUUAAACCUGUCAUUACCAAGGCUUUCCCCAGUCGGUAGGCAGUAUUUUGCACAACAACACACUCCUGCGGAAGAAGAAAAGCUAAGCAGUAGAGUACCCACACUGUUAAAUUGGUUUCAAGUCUAAUGUUGUCAGACAAUGCUAUGCAGUACUCCAGUAUGCAGUGUUCUAUAAAGUGGAGAACACCUACUGAAACUAAAGCCUAAAACAAUAGUGUGCCCACAAUGCCAUAUUACAGUCUAUUAAGAACAGGAACAUUGGUUUCAAGCUACCUCUACACUUCAAAUGAUACAGUGAUGUUUAUAGAUCCAAAAGCUGAAUAUCUUAUUUAAGUUUGCCCAAAGAAUUAAUGUUGCCGAGUACUGAUAAUAUAUCAGAUUUAGAUAGCUCCCAAUUCUUUUUUUUUUCUUCCAUUUUCUCAUUAUUUUAUUUUUUAACCCUUUAAAACUGAAUCAUAUUUCACUUAUUUUUCCUUUUUUCCUUGCUUGGAUCCCAGUUCAGUAUUCUGCCUCAGUUAAUAUCUAUCUAUUAUCAUUAUGUAUCAUAUUUCCACCACAAUUGAUGGGAUAUUCCCAAAUAUUAUUGCAAUUAAUGCACCUACUCAAAAACCUACCAAAUUUAUUUUUGUUGAUGGCAAUGAUUAUAGUAUUGUAGCAUGCUACUACUGCUGUAUCAUUAUUAUUUAUUUUAUUUUAUCUCCAAAUAUAACUAAAAAUAAAUAAAUGUUAAUAAAUCAAAUGAACCUUAAAAUGAUGGGCUGUUUUACCAGUUAGCAAGGUCAUAAGUAAUAAACACACUACUACUAAACAUUCACUGACUUGGGUUUUACUUGACCCAUAAAAUAGUUAGUAGAUGGAGAGGUUAGAGUACAAACACUAAAUGUGUGCAAUAGUUAUCACUAUUUAGCAGUAAAUAAGCACCAAUUAAACAUAAGAAAACAAUAUAAUUAGCAUAUAACAACACUAUUUAGUGAUAUUUAUGUUGCACACUUUUAGUGUUUGUAUGCUAGUAGAUCUAAUUAGUCUAUGCUUGCAAGAGCUUUGAAUGUCUUUCUUGUCACUUCAUGUGAUUUCCACAUUACUCUCCCCCACC